AUUGAACGCUGGCGGCAUGCCUUACACAUGCAAGUCGAACGGCAGCACGGGAGCAAUCCUGGUGGCGAGUGGCGAACGGGUGAGUAAUAUAUCGGAACGUGCCCAGUCUGGGGGAUAACGUAGCGAAAGCUACGCUAAUACCGCAUACGAUCUAUGGAUGAAAGCGGGGGAUCGCAAGACCUCGCGCGAUUGGAGCGGCCGAUAUCAGAUUAGGUAGUUGGUGAGGUAAAGGCUCACCAAGCCGACGAUCUGUAGCUGGUCUGAGAGGACGACCAGCCACACUGGGACUGAGACACGGCCCAGACUCCUACGGGAGGCAGCAGUGGGGAAUUUUGGACAAUGGCGCAAGCCUGAUCCAGCAAUGCCGCGUGCAGGAUGAAGGGCCUUCGGGUU
rnacentral:rRNA from 1 species